rnacentral:rRNA from 1 species
GACGAACGCUGGCGGCGUGCUUAACACAUGCCAGUCGAACGGAAAGGCCCUGCUUUUGUGGGGUGCUCGAGUGGCGAACGGGUGAGUAACACGUGAGUAACCUGCCCUUGACUUUGGGAUAACUUCAGGAAACUGGGGCUAAUACCGGAUAGGAGCUCCUGCUGCAUGGUGGGGGUUGGAAAGUUUCGGCGGUUGGGGAUGGACUCGCGGCUUAUCAGCUUGUUGGUGGGGUAGUGGCUUACCAAGGCUUUGACGGGUAGCCGGCCUGAGAGGGUGACCGGCGAAAGGGGGCAGAAUACAGGCCCGAGUCUCGAAGGGGGGCGGGCAGGGGGGAAUAGGACACAGGGGGGGGAAGCCGGGGCCGCACACCCCGGGGGGGGAAGGACGGCUUGGGGUUUAAAAACAGCUUCCGCUGGGGAGGAAGGGGGGGUGAGGGAAAGGAAAAAAGAAGCCCCGGCUAACUCCGUG